rnacentral:lncRNA from 1 species
CAAACUAGUCUCACAAAGUUAUGGCAUACAAGACUCAACUAUCUCCUAACCUAUAACCCUAAUACUCGGCCUCCACAUGUUCCUAUCAAGUGUCAUGUCCUCGAAAAUCUGAAGCCUCGCCAUAUCCUUCUUAAUCACCUCCCCUCAAUACUUCUUAGGUCGCCCUCUAUCUGUUUCAUUACCUCCACAACCAGCCGUUUGCACCUCUUUAUCGGAGCAUCUGGGCUUCUCCUAUGAACAUGCCCAAACCACCUGAGUCUUGCUUCCCAUAUCUUGUCAUCAAU